AAUGCAACGAGACUAUUAGAAAAGAAAUUUAACUUUUACAAGCUGACAGUGUAAAAGAAAUUUUAAACUACGCGAUCAUCUAAGAGAUAAUUGCAGAUAACGACUCAUGAUUAAUUAUAGAUAACAACUCAUGAUUAGUGAAAUUUGUAAAUCUGGAAAUAAAGCAAGUUAGAAGCUACAACAUGUAAUUCACUCUUAUCACUGUAAAUAUUCUCUACAUUGUAAGUGCAUUUAAGUUAAGAUCGUUUAAAACCAGUAUGCAAGAAGAGACGGAGCAAAGGAGAAUCCUAUGAUCAAACAAAGAGUUUACAGUAUAUCUAAAAAUAUCAUUUUGCAUCACACUAAACUUUAUAAACUGAAUUUUUAAAAUAUGAAAAGCUACAAGAAUAUAAUUGUGAUCAAGUAGCAAUUAUGUACUACAUUUUCUCCGGUAAUCAUGUUUGUAAAUUGAAUCUAAAUACGAGCAGGGACAAUGCUUGCCGAUGGGGGUGACAAAUGGGUGAGUUUGGUUGGAUUUGGGCAGGUAGAAAAUGAUUUGAAUAAAAAUGAGUUGGAUUUCAACCUGCCCAUAUUUCAUGUGGGUAAAAUAUGGAUUGGGUGAUCAAUGGGUGGGUUGGUUAUGAUUUAGCCCAUAUUAUAUAAGUGAAAUAUUAUUUCAAGUGUAAUGUUUAUAAUUUUUUCUUUUGUCAAAUUGAGUUAAUUUUUUCAUAUAUUGAUUAUUAAAUAUUAUGAAAUAGAAAAUUCGGGGGUGGGGUAAAAAUUUUUUUUUAUAAUUUUUUAUAAAAGUAAGAUAAAAUAUAUGAAAUAGAAAAUGUGGGCGGGUGGGGGGGGGGGGGGGGGGAGGCGGGGUAAGGUCGGGGUGGGAGGUAAGAAUUUUUUUUCUCAUUUUUUAAUAAAAUUUUCUCAAAAGUGAAAUAAAAUAUAUGAAAUAGAAAAUUCGAGGGGGUGCGGGGAGUGGUGGUAGUGGGGUGGGUAUGGGGUGAGGGGGAGUAAAGGGUGGCAUAGAGGGGUGGUAGGGAGCAAGGACAGGGAUGGAAUGGGUAGGUGCAGGUGGUUGGGGGGGGGGUGCGUUGGUGUGUGUUUUUUAUCGAUCAAGAAAACAUUUUCCCUUAAAAAUAGGAAAAUAUUUUUCUUAGAAAAUGAGUUGUUAUUCGGUGAUUGGUCUAGUGAGUUCACGAAAAUUUUUAUGGUGGUUGUGGCACAAAUAUGACUUGACAUGUAAGGGAAUUACUUUUCGAAAAAGUAGUGUGUGGGUCCCAUUUCUAUUAGCACUUCAUCCUAUUUGUUUCUCCUUGGCCUCUCUUCACAUUUUGUUUUUUAUUAUUUUGGGAUGCUGAAUCCUCUCUUCACUUAUCAUCCCGCCUCUUCUUCAUUUAAUUUCAUGGAGGUUUAUUCUUCAAACGUAAUGGAAGCACUACACCAUGGCGAUUUUCUAGAUCAGUUUUCUAGUCAUGGAUUUUUUCCGUCACCCAAAUUUUUUAUAUAUUUAUCUUCUCUAUUUGAUGUUUGGUAUAUUUGGAGGUGAAUUUAGAAUUUAAAUUAUAUGAGUUCACUUUUUAUGUCCUAGUCGGUUAGUGGAGGAUAAAAUAUCUAGACUAGUUAGCUGUUGACAGCUGUAUAAGAAAAUACAACUACUUUCUUUUGAACGGAAUUAAAUGAGCAAUUACUUUCUCUCCCCAAAAUCUCUCAUUUCUCUUCUUCGAACUCCAUAGAAUCUGUUGCCAUUGAUGAAGAUACACAAGUUAUGCUGCGUGUUCUUCAUCGAAACAGAUAAGAGUUCAUAUUAUCUCUCUGUUCUUACUUCGAAUUUUUUUUCUUCGCUUUAAAAUUGAAAUUGUUUCGAUCAAUUUCAGAUCUGAUAAUUCUGAUUGAAUCGCCUAGAAACAAUUGAUCAAAACUAUCUAGAUUUUGCAUAUAAACUAGAUUUGAAAUCAAAGAAAUCAACAGCAAUACGAGUACUGGAGCUGGAACGAGCACUGCUACUGUUAUUGAUCAUUGAUCAACAUCAGCCACUGUUUCUUCAGAGUCGCGACACAUCAGGUAGCUCCUUAAUCUCAAUUAAGCUAACUGGACCAGAUAACUAUGCUCGAUGGAGUAGUUCAAUGCGAAUUGGUUUACUAGGCAAGAGCAAAUUAGGUUUUGUUGAUGGAAAACAUCCAAAGGAAAAGUUUGAUAGUUCGUUUGUGGGAAAAAUGUAAUGCUAUUGUUUUGUCUUGGAUUAUGUAAUCGAUGAGUACUGAAUUGCUAAAUGGAAUAAUACAUGCUUCUAGUGCAUAUAAAGUAUGGACAGAUCUUAAGGAAAUAGCCACUUCAACACAAGGAAUAUCGUCUGUAUCUAGUUAUUUCCCUAGAUUGAAGGAGCUAUGGGCUGAAUUUGAUGCUAUUAUGCCAUGCCCUAGAUGUGGUUGUGACAAAUCCACAAAUACAUUGAACACUUUGAAUAUCAAAGGCUUUUGCAGUUCUUAAUGGGAUUAAAUGAAACUUAUGCUUAGUCUAGCAAUCAAAAACCAGUACCCUUCCUUCAUUAACAAGGCAUAUGCUAUGGUUCUGUCUGAGGAAAGCAGAAGAACACUGGUUAACUCUCGUCAUGUGCCAGGAAUUAGUGAAGGAACGGCUCUUUUCAGUCACAAAGGAGGUUUCAAUCCUGGUGCAAGUACCUCACUAUAACAAUAAAGGAAUACUUGGUUUAGGCUAUCACACCAGCUAUUCCUCAAGUGCUUCUACCGCAAGAACUCAAUAUAGACCAAGUUCAAGCUCAGGUUCUACUUCAGGGAACCAAUAUAAACCCAAGGAAAAAUGACAUAUAUUGUGACUUCUAUCAUUUUAGAGGUCAUACUAGAGAAAACUGCUAUAAGUUGCAUGGAUAUCCAGCUGAUCACAAACCUAAGAAGAAGUUCACACCAAGGAACUCAUCUCACUUUGUGGGAGAGGGUCAGCUAAAUGGGGCCGGUAGUAGCACAUCUGGCUCAUCUGUUAACUUUGCAGGACACAAUUCAGGAGAACAAAGCCACAUCAACAUCUCUCAGUUCACACAGGAGCAGUAUAAUCAGAUCCUGCAGAUGCUAGGCAAGUCAAGUGGCAUUACUAACUCAGCAAUCAGCAAUGGCUGCAAGUAUGGCUGAUUUUCCCAAGUUCUCUGAGAGUCUAGCCAAAUGGAUAGUUGACAUAGGAGCAUCAAACCACAUGGACCUCUUCAGUGGAAUGGUGAACUAGAAGGUGGCUUAUAUGUGUUGACAUCUUGCUGUAAGGUGCCAGCUCAAGUUAAAGAAGAGAAGACCUCAGUUCUCAAGUUUUUGACUGUUGUUACUAAGGAAGACUAUCUCAAUAAUGCUAGUAGAACAGGGGCGGACGCAUGUUAAACCAAGGGUUGUCAUUCGGCACCCCUUGGUCGGGAAAAUUUAGUUGUAUAUAUAGAGAGAGAAUAUGUUAAAAUAGAAUAGAGUACAAGUAAUUUAAAAUGAUUUCAAUUGACAAAUAAAACUUCUUGGCUCGAUGGUGAAGCGCAUCCUGUGGUUCCUAUGCGUCAUGUGUUCGAAUCCUCGCAGCACCGGAUGUCAUCUGUUUUUGAGUUUCUAUCAGUGCCUAUCCUAAAACUCUGUGGUAAAAAAUGGAUAUACAUACCAGCCAGCCACGCAUACACUACACAGCUCCUAUGCAAUUUAUAUUUCUAGGAAAGUUGUAUUAAUUUACAUGAGCUAUGUUUUAUUAAUAUGAUUUGAAUUAUCUUUUGUUAAUCAGUAAUUUGUUCGCUUA